rnacentral:lncRNA from 1 species
UUGGGGUCAAGUCCCCAGCUCCCUGCUCACCUGCAGGCCAAGGGCUGGGAAGGAAGACCCCAGGUCGGCCAGGGGGUUGGGGGCUGGAGGGACUCCUACUGUUUAUUGAGUAACAGGCUGCAGGUGAGGAGCUGACAGAAGGGGGGGCAAUAACUUAAAAACUUGAGGCGACAGCGGUAGCUCCCCGAGAGACCUCUGCAGAGGGACAGGAGUAUAUACACGGAUUUGUACAAAGUGCCCCGCGCCAGCCUGGGGCAUGAAGGAGGUUCGAGCAUAAGGAGGAGGGAGGGGAAGGUUUCUGCCUGUGACCCCCAACUCCCUGAACCCCCCGAGUUCUGUCUCCAGUCAUUAUGCCUGGAAGUUCUCCCCAAAUGGGAGAAUUUCCUCAGUUUCCCUUCUCACUCCUGUCCCCAAAGUCUCCUCAAGUGCCCUGCAGCAGAGCAAGAUGGGGGGGUCCCCACUAGAGGCCCUAGGAGGGUGCCAGCUCCCCCCUGCUGAGCCCUCUUAUCGUGUCAUGUGUCCCCACACUGUCCACCAAUCUAAUCCAGGGAAGCUUCAGUCAUGAUACGGGGAACCCCCUCCUCUGUCCUGUUCCCCUUUUGGGGAAGUGAAAGGAACCAGAGAAAAGAAGGGACCCGGGGUGUGAUGGUGGCUGUGGUGGUGAUGGUGGUGGUGGUGGUGGUGGUGGUGGCGGUGGCGGUGGCUCAGAGUUCGAGGUCGUUGGAAAUGCGGGUGACAAGGGUUCGGAAGGCCAGGGCGGUGCCCGCCACGCGGCGGAAGAGGACGCCCCUGAGGCCGGGCCGGGGCAGCUGGCACACCUCUACUUCGAAAUGGGACAGGGGCUCGGGCCCGCCCGCACCCCCGUGCAGGCAGGCCAGCAGGAACGGCUGCGGCUGGCGGCACCGGCAGCGGGCGGCCGC